rnacentral:rRNA from 1 species
GAUGAACGCUGGCGGCAUGCCUAAUACAUGCAAGUCGAGCGAACGGACGAGAAGCUUGCUUUUCUGAUGUUAGCGGCGGACGGGUGAGUAACACGUGGAUAACCUACCUAUAAGACUGGGAUAACUUCGGGAAACCGGAGCUAAUACCGGAUAAUAUUUUGAACCGCAUGGUUCAAAAGUGAAAGACGGUCUUGCUGUCACUUAUAGAUGGAUCCGCGCUGCAUUAGCUAGUUGGUAAGGUAACGGCUUACCAAGGCAACGAUGCAUAGCCGACCUGAGAGGGUGAUCGGCCACACUGGAACUGAGACACGGUCCAGACUCCUACGGGAGGCAGCAGUAGGGAAUCUUCCGCAAUGGGCGAAAGCCUGACGGAGCAACGCCGCGUGAGUGAUGAAGGUCUUCGGAUCGUAAAACUCUGUUAUUAGGGAAGAACAUAUGUGUAAGUAACUGUGCACAUCUUGACGGUACCUAAUCAGAAAGCCACGGCUAACUACGUG